rnacentral:rRNA from 1 species
AGUGAACGCUGGCGGCAGGCCUAACACAUGCAAGUCGAACGGCAGCACGGCAGUAGCAAUACUGUGGGUGGCGAGUGGCGGACGGGUGAGGAAUACAUCGGGAUCUACCCUGUUGUGGGGGAUAACGUAGGGAAACUUACGCUAAUACCGCAUAAGGACUGAGGUUGAAAGCGGCGGACCGCAAGGCGUCGCGCGAUUGGAUGAACCGAUGUCCGAUUAGCUAGUUGGCGGGGUAAAGGCCCACCAAGGCGACGAUCGGUAGCUGGUCUGAGAGGACGGACCAGCCACACUGGAACUGAGACACGGUCCAGACUCCUACGGGAGGCAGCAGUGGGGAAUAUUGGACAAUGGGCGCAAGCCUGAUCCAGCCAUGCCGCGU